rnacentral:rRNA from 1 species
CAAGGCUGAGGCGUGAUGACGAGGCACUACGGUGCUGAAGCAACAAAUGCCCUGCUUCCAGGAAAAGCCUCUAAGCAUCAGGUAACAUCAAAUCGUACCCCAAACCGACACAGGUGGUCAGGUAGAGAAUACCAAGGCGCUUGAGAGAACUCGGGUGAAGGAACUAGGCAAAAUGGUGCCGUAACUUCGGGAGAAGGCACGCUGAUAUGUAGGUGAAGUCCCUCGCGGAUGGAGCUGAAAUCAGUCGAAGAUACCAGCUGGCUGCAACUGUUUAUUAAAAACACAGCACUGUGCAAACACGAAAGUGGACGUAUACGGUGUGACGCCUGCCCGGUGC